CACGUAGGAGACGAGCGUUAUCUGGAUUUACUGGGCGUAAAGAGCGUGUAGGCGGCUCUGCAAGUCCUGCGUGAAAUCUCGAGGCUCAACCUCGAGCGGUCGUGGGAAACUGGAGGGCUAGAGUGCGGGAGAGGGAAGUGGAAUUCCAGGUGUAGCGGUGAAAUGCGCAGAUAUCUGGAAGAACACCCGUGGCGAAGGCGGCUUCCUGGAACGACACUGACGCUGAGACGCGAAAGCGUGGGGAGCAAACAGG
rnacentral:rRNA from 1 species